UCUUUACUUAUAAACUCGUCUCUAGUCUCUACUUCGACCCUCAUCUAUAUCUUGCUUGCCAUUUUUUUUUUUUUUUUUUUGGUGCAACUGCUUUGGAGUUCACCUUUACCUUGAUUGAUGAUGAUAUCAACAUAGAUGGCACGACUACAUUUGUGGAUGGUUAUUAAUGCGGGUUCUGGUCAGACCUCAGGGUUGUUAUAUUUGAUAUUAAAAAGAGGAGGAUUUUCCAUUCUAGAUCAGGAGAUUGGACCAGCUUGCCAUUCUUCACAUCCUUCUAACUUCGAGUGGAGUGUUCAUUCCAAGAUGAUUUUACAGGAUAUUUUGUAGAGGAACCUGUGCCGGGUCCCACUGACGAAACCCCAACGGGGGAUUGGUGGGUUCCUGAAGAAUUUGACGGUGACGGCUGCCCAUGUGAGGGUUGUGUUGCAGGGCAACAAUGAUAGAUUCUAUUUACUGUACUCUUGAUUCUUUUGUGCCUUCUUUGGGAAGAUCUUCUGAUGUAGCUGUAGGAUGUGGGAGUGCCUUCUUUGGGAAGGGCUUUUGUUGCUGUUCUUCGUUGCUGUUGAAGUGCCUUCUUUGGGAAGGUCUUUUGGUAUUGUUGUUGUUUGUUGCUGAUGGUUCUACUUGGUUUAUUCGACAGUAAUUUCUUUAUCCACUAAUGUUUGAUGUGUUUGAACUGAUAUUGCUACUAGCUUAUGAUGGUUGAUUGGUGUUCUCUUUGUGCUCGUUGGAGUUCUUGUUGGUCCAAGCUGGAGCUUUAUUUUGCUAUAUAUAUAUAUACUCUAGCUUGAGGGGGAGUGUUAGAGUGUACGAGUGAGUGUGUCAGUUGGAGGUCUAUGGGUGUCUAUAGACCUCCAUACCAUGAGAUUAUAUUUGAUUCAACCAUAUAUUUGUUAGUUUCCUAUUGGGGUUAGGGUAGUCGUUAGCUAAGUUAGAGCUAGUUUCCUAUUUGUGUUAUGAGUUUGUAAUAGCUUAGUCUCACAGUUGUGACUCCCAAGUUACACCAAUCUCUUUGUCUCUCAUCUUUCUUCUUCUCUAAUUCUUGUUUCUAAUCUUUACAAAUUCUUAUUAAACAGUAGCAGAACCAAAAAAAAAAAUCAGAAAAAUAUUUGUUCUAAGAAGUAUAGUGUAGUAGAGAUCAUUCUGUUUUCCUAGUCUGACAAUGGCAUGAAACCCAGACCUCCUUGUAUUUCUGUUUUAUAAUUGUGUUUUAAUCCUUCGUUUUUAGCUCCCCAUCUCAAAUUUAAUGUGUGAAGCUGAGAAGCUCUCCCCCCUUGUCUCUUCAAUGGUCCAAGUUUGUGAAAUAGAAUGAUUUUCCAACCAGUUCUCAAAUCAUUAUAUUGAUUGAUAGCAAUUUAAGUCAAAGAGAAUUGGGUAGUUGGUCUGGUUUGUCUAGCCAAUUUUCCAACAUGACUAUCAACUGUUAGUUUUAGCUUUAGCCAGGAACCAGAAUUUAACUAAUGAGGCACUGAAGCACUACAUUUUCGACAUUCUAUUGGACUUUCUGUUUUUGUUGAUUACAAUGACUUGGAUGUCUCUUUGUGAUGUGACCAAUUAGGCAUUGGCCUACAUAUUAACACUUCAAAGUUAAAACAGAGUCAUAUUUUAGCUUUAAAUCUUUCGAUUUCUUGUUUGUCAACAAGGUAGUUGUCUUCUUCAUACCAUUUUCUGUUUUUGGUCCUUGCUUCUGUAAUCUUUUUGUGAUUCAAAAAUCAAAGAAAGUCUAAUAUUAUUUUCCAAUUUUCUUUCCUAUAUAUUAGGGUUAUCUUUUUAUUGAGAAAAAAAAAAGGAUGUUAAAAAGUAAUCAAACAUCCAUGGGGCAUCUUAGUUCGUACUUGAACUUGUUGGGUGCAUCUAGCCAUGCUGCUGAAUUCUAUUUGGGAAAAUUGUUGAAAAAUCAAUAAUUUUGAAAACAUUUACAAAAGUACUUUUCCACAACCAAUAUAAGGUUUUAAAAUUUUCAUUAGAGGUGGGUUGGAUCCUUGUUGAGAUCUGAAUAUUCUCCCAAAAUUUUCACAAUUUCAAUUCUUUUUGCAAACUCAAAAUAUUUCGCUGAAAGUCAAAAGUACUGGACAUUCUUAUGUACUUUUUUUAAUUAGUUCAAAGGGGAUGGGGAGGCCUUGGUCACAUAACUUGGACUAGUAGAACAGAAUUCGGGCCAGGUUGAAUAUGCAGUUAAAUCCAAUUAUAUAUAUAUAUAUAUAUAUAUAUGGUUUUAAGUUUUUUGAGAGAGGGAUAAUUGGUUGACAUGAUUACGAUGGGCAUUUCACUUCUUGUAGUGUGCUCUUUGCACUUGAACUUGUAGGAAACAUGGGAAGGAACCAUGUGUGGAUGAGGAACUAGUGGAUAUGUUGGGUGUGAUAGCAUCAUAGAUUAAAGAACUUGGUGCUGCAUUUAUUCAAGGAGAGGAUUUUACUUUUGCAUUUUCUGAUAGAAUCUACAGAGGUGAUGAAGGUAGAUGCAUCAAUUCUGGCAUCAUAGAUGAUGUUUUUUAGGGUUUUGAAAACAACAAUGACAAGUUGGCUGGAGUCUCUCUCUCUCUCUCGGGAUGAUAAUAGGAGGGGUAGGAUGGUUGGGAAAAUGGUAGAUGGGAGCUUGAAGUUGGCAGAUCAUUGUUUAAGGUUAGUUCCGAAGGGGGUGUAUGGCAACGGAUCUGUCCCAAAUUAGAAUUUCUGAGUCAGAAAUACCUUUUCGUGUUUCUAUUAAUUUGGAAUACUUCUGUUCAAGAAUUUGUUGUAUGGUAAUAUUUAGAAAAAAAUAUUCCUACCACUGAAAAAAAUAGAAAUGCGUAUGGCAUGCAUAUUGACAGAAGUACAUCAUCUAGUGGUGGUGGCCGUGUAAGAGUGAGUCGUUAUUAGUAAUUAUGUUGGGUCUUUUUUUUUUUUAAUUUAUAAAAGACCACUUUCAAUUUGUUUCUCAAAAGACCAUGAAAAGUGUUUCUUUUUUCCGGUUCAUUUAUAAAAAGAAAAAAAAUAGACCUUACGUCAAAUAUAUGUUCUAUUCAAAAUGUGUUCCAAAAAAACAAAAAAACACCAGAACUGUUUUUUUAAACGUUUCCAUACAUACACCCUCCAUAAAUAUUCCUUUUUUGUGGUUGUCUUCCAUUUGGAUCUUGUUUUGGCUUUUAUAAUUUUAUAUUAUUUGACAACUGAUUUUCUUGUGUUGCAAAUAUGUUUGAGCUGUCACAGGUGUCUUGGAAUGUGGUGGCUGAGUUUGAUAAGCUUUAAAGUUCUGUUCACCAGGAGGCUGAACUACCCUUUUCCCAUGUGCAUUAUCUUGGGUUCACUUCAUUAGUGUCAUACUGCUGCAAGAAGCUUACUCAACAGUUUGAAGCAGGCCAUGGAAAAAGGAUGGAAUAUUAGGGAGAUUUGGAGUGGUUCCGUGGAAAUGCAUAAUCUGGUAGUAAACUUUAGCACCGAUUCGUGGCCGUGGAUCUCCAUCUCCUUAUUUUUGUCUAUAGAUCUUUUUUUUUUUUUUUGGGGGGGGGGGGAAUAAUUUUUGUCUCAUGGAAUGUAAGAUUUGGUGCUUUUGUUUAAGCGGCUUGCUUACCUUGUUAUGCAUAAGAAGAACAAACUGUCCAUAAUAUGAUCAAAGGUGGAUGUACUGUCUCUCUUAUUAAUGGUAUUAUGUUUCUUUUCACAUUAAAAAAG